rnacentral:rRNA from 1 species
UACGUAGGGGGCAAGCGUUGUCCGGAAUCAUUGGGCGUAAAGAGCGUGUAGGCGGCCAGAAAAGUCCGCUGUGAAAACUCGAGGCUCAACUUCGAGCUGUCGGUGGAAACUUUCUGGCUAGAGUCCGGAAGAGGAGAAUGGAAUUCCUGGUGUAGCGGUGAAAUGCGCAGAUAUCAGGAAGAACACCCGUGGCGAAGGCGGUUCUCUGGGACGGUACUGACGCUGAGACGCGAAAGCGGGGGGAGCGAACAGG